CUACGGGACGCUCCAGUGAGGAAUAUUGCACAAUGGGGGGAACCCUGAUGCAGCAACGCCGCGUGGAGGAUGACGCAUUUCGGUGUGUAAACUCCUUUUAUAUGUCAAGAAAAUGACGGUAGCAUAUGAAUAAGAACCGGCUAACUCCGUGCCAGCAGCCGCGGUAAUACGGAGGGUGCAAGCGUUACUCGGAAUCACUGGGCGUAAAGGACGCGUAGGCGGGUUGGAAAGUCAGGUGUGAAAUCCAACAGCUUAACUGUAGAACUGCACUUGAAACUUCUAAUCUAGAGUAUGGGAGGGGGAGAUGGAAUUAGUGGUGUAGGGGUAAAAUCCGUAGAUAUCACUAGGAAUACCUAAAGCGAAGGCGAUCUCCUGGAACAUUACUGACGCUAAGGCGUGAAAGCGUGGGGAGCAAACAGGAUUAGAUACCCGCGUAGUC
rnacentral:rRNA from 1 species